UACAGAGGUCCCAAGCGUUGUUCGGAUUCAUUGGGCGUAAAGGGUGCGUAGGCGGCCAUUUAAGUCAGAGGUGAAAGACGGUAGCUCAACUAUCGCAGUGCCUUUGAUACUGAGUGGCUUGAAUGAACUAGAGGUAGGCGGAAUGAGACAAGUAGCGGUGAAAUGCAUAGAUAUGUCUCAGAACACCGAUUGCGAAGGCAGCUUACUAUGGUUUAAUUGACGCUGAGGCACGAAAGCGUGGGGAUCAAACAGG
rnacentral:rRNA from 1 species